GAAAUUUUUAUAAUUAAGCCGCUAACUUAAUUUACAGUGUUUACUACAUUGAAGUUUCU
rnacentral:tRNA from 1 species